rnacentral:lncRNA from 1 species
CCUCACAUCCCUUGCAUUCAGCAGGGAGGGAGCAACUGAGUUUCCAGGAAUGUCAUUCAGUCCAUGUGAACAGGAGUACAGUGCUGCUGUUGUGCCCGAAUGUAUGGAGGGUAGUGAGAACCACAUUCCAUGGCAUACCCAGCCUCCCAUGCAACAACUAUAGAACCCUGGAACCUGCCGAAAGCCACAGAUCAACACUAUGGCACCAAUAUAAGAUCAGAUCUAAUAAAUGAUGCCCAUGUGAAAACAUAUGGCAAGAGGAAGCUACAUCUCAAAAGGACUCAACAAAAGGAUAGGGGCAUGGACACCUGGGUCCCUAAUCUCAGACCUAUUAAAUGGUGGAAAUAACAUGGGUGAUUGAUGUUUUUUUAAGGUU